rnacentral:lncRNA from 1 species
GUGGGUAUAAGGUUGUUGCCUAUAAAAUGGCAACUUAAUGGGUGUCCACUCUCACCCACCGCUUGCUUGACUGGUGGAGGGUCGUUAGCCGAACGGGUUUGACAGGACUAUAAUUCUCCCUUCAUUAAAAGUAUUAAUGAUAAAUACUAAGUAACUAAACUCUUAAUAAUACCCAAUCUUAGUUACUUAGGAAAAUGUGAAUAAGGUGCUAAUCCAUGAAAUUACACUUUGCACUUUGUUUAAGUCGGUUAGUGGAGCGUGUGUGGUUAACCGGCACACUAACUCGUAUUUAACAAGGUAGGCAAAGGGUAACUUAAUGUUUAUCAUAGUAUCGAUGGAGCGUGUGUGGUUAACCGGCACAUCGAUUGAGGGGUAAACACUUAAGGGUACCAAGUGAUUUGCAUGGUUACUUCACACCUUGUUUUGUGAUCCUCGGCAUCCCAGUCACAAAACCUGAAGGGCACACUCGAGAUUGAAACAUGCCUUUGAACAGUUCAAUGAAUCUCAAAGAUCUAGGAGUUUCAAAACCAAUUAAAACCUAAUAAUACAUUUCGUUUAUCUUGGUGGAAAUUGGUGAAUCGUCAUUCACCUACCUUCAAAUAUUUUAUAGCUUGGAUUACGGCAUACCUCUUCUAAGUUAUAAAAUAGUGUGUUGGGUCCUAGCCUUAAUAUUUCAUAUUGGGUGUUAUAUUAAGGACUUUAAAUCAACUAUCUUGAAUAUCUCCCAAAAGAUGUCUGGUUUAGACAUUUAUGAUCUUCCCAAAUCUCUUGAAACAAGCUUUCCUAAAUGAAGAUGAUGUCCCGUGGAAAUCAUACUUCUUUCACCUCCUCCAAUUAUUCUCCCUAACCCACAAGUUCUUGAAAAAGUUUAAGGUCACUCAAGCCCUAUUGGCAAGGCAAGGUCUAGGUGUGAUCACAUCUUGGAGAUGUAGUCACAUAUUGACAAGCCGGGAGAGUUGGGUGUCAAAGUCUUGAGAAAGUUGGUGGUUCAAUCACUUUCUAAGUCACAUAGUGAGUUCCUUUGGGACACCUAUGAAACAGACUAUGACAAGACCCUUAAUGAUCUUAUCUAUUUGCUAAGAUCAACUUCCUAAAACUUGUGGACAUUGACAAUAAUGACAUUGGAUAUCCAGUAAAGCUCUCUCCUCCCAAUGGAAAGGGAUCGGCCAUAGUAAACUCUAUUGACCAAAUGGUAAAGAGGGCGGCUAAGUCUGAGAUAGUCCCAUUAUCAAGAGUCCAUAGGUAUCUAUUGCCAAAGGAAGGGGCAUUGGUUGCGAAGCUGCCAAAUUUACCUAAGGAUGUUAAAGUCAAUAAGUUUGACUCUACUUCAGGUUAAAGUCCACUAUCUGACUUUGCUAAGUUUCUACUCUGAGAUUCUUGAUACAUGAUGUGACUGGGUCACAUGGUGAUGUUUUAAGAAUCAAAGAAAAGUGAAGGAAAUUAAAGAAAGAAUAUGCUGAAUUUGAUCUCAUAGAUGGAUUUCUAUCGCAUAGUUUGAAGAUCGGAUUCUCGAGCUGCUUCUUAGGAGUUAUGAGAUGUUGCUUAGGAAUAGAUAACAAGAAGUUUUCAUAUGGAUUGUAAGGAUAAGUUUUUCCGCAAAGUUUUAAAAAAAUAAUAAAAUGAAAUUUUUGAUUUUAUUUAUUUUAAAAUAUCCUUACAAUGGCUUUUGAGGAAAAAUUGUUGCUUAUAUGAUUCCAUUAAGAGCAAGAGUGGAAAUAUGAAAUUGAUUCUUUCAUUUGUGGUAAUGUCUAGAUUUACCAAAUAAGGAAAGAUUCUCAUCACCCAAGUUUCAAUUGGACCGGAACUUGGAAUCAUGCAAGUUGUAUAGCAUGAUGAAUGAGAACUUUCAAGUUUUGGAAAAUUAAGACUAAUUACUCGGCCACAUGGAUGUGUGAGUCAAGUAAAGGACUAAGGGAUCGAGUACACAUUCUUGUGCACUGAUUAAGUCCACCACAAAAGAUUGAUAAGACUAUUCGUCAUAGUUUACUAAAGCUCAGUAAAUAUGAUUAUACUUACAAGCUUAAGUGUAACUCUGAGACAUUGGAAAAGGUUCCAAUGUAUGGCAGGGCGAAUAAGAAGAAUCAAAUUAGGCAGAAGGAUAAAAGUUUCUCAAAUCUGAAAAGAUGGGAGAGUACUUUAGUAUCAGUUUUGUGAUCAUCUUAAUGAUUAAGAAACCAUAUCAAAAUUAGUUCUCUAAGGAAAUCUUAGUGCAUUCUUAUGACUAAGAAGAGGAACUUGAAUUGUUGAAAUGGUUAAAUCAAGAAGAUGAGUCAUACUUCGUUCCAAUACAAGUCUUAGAGUCAUACUCCAAGAUUGUCAUUUGAGUGACAUGUCUUAAAGAAGGUUUAAAACACUUGUCAAAUGUAAGAGUAAAAGUUUUCUACUCUUGUACAUUUGAAAUUGGUAAGUUGUGAUGUUUUGGAUAAAACAAAGACCAACUUAGGCCAAUUGGGUAAAGUGUUUUUCUUGAUUAGAAUCCGCACUAUCUCUUGGAUGUUUGACAAGGGAGUCUUAUAUGUCAAGAGGACAGUGGGAGUCUUAAAGGUCUUGAAAGUCUCAAGAAAUAAUCAAGAAUAAAACCUGAAGUUCUUCACUAGCACACGACUUGAGGUUUAUAACCUAUCGUGUUGACAUAUCUGUGCCCAUUCCAGUUAAAGUUGGCUUUGCAUAUGAGUUCUUAGAGUUCUCAGUUUGUUGCAUAACAACUUGGAAGCAAUGGCAGGCCCUUGAGCUGCCAGGUGGCAAGAAGUUAAGAUUGAGUUCAAUCCAUAUGGUUUUGGAUUUGUCAUUAUCUUUGUCUUGUGAUUAUGGUUUGACAAAUUCAUAUGGGUAGGAACUCAUACACCAUAUAAAUCUAAGUGUCAUAAGGUUUCUCUCCGAUUCAUGAAAAUGAUGGUGAGGAAACACUUUCACUAAGUAGAUUUUAUCUAGAUAGCAAUUGUGAUAUUUGCAUUCUCAAAGUCGUUAGUGGAGCGCGUGUGGUUAACCGGCACACUAACCUGGACUUGUGAGAAGUGGCAAAAAGGUCUAACCAUUAUGAUUACGGCAUACCUCUUCAUAAUUGUUUAGACACACAAGUGUGCUAUCUAAGGGAAGGUGUAUGAUUUUGAUAAAGUUUUAUCAAAACAAUCUAGUAUCAGAAAUCUGAACUUUGGUAAGAAAGUCAAUGAAGUAUUGAUUUCUAGAAGUCCAGCUGAUUUCUGAGUACAUGUCAAAGCUAGUGGGAGCAUAAGUGUUAUGCUAAUAAUCAUCAUGUUAGUGGGAGCAUGAUAAUUAUGAUAAGUAUUGCAAGUUAGCAAUGUUAAUUAUAGAAAACAAAAGUUUCAAUUGGGAAAAAGUUGUUUUGCUAUAAUUAAGGGAGAGGAAAUUAUGCUUCAUCUCAAAUCUAUAAGCUUAGAUCGUGAGGUUUUAAUCAUUUAGUCAAGGAUAUAUAUGAAUUUCAUGUUGGAAUGGCUCAACAUAAGGAAAUUCUGUAUAUGGGUCCAUUAUUUGCGUUCUAAAAUUCGAUUAUGAUUACGGCAUCCCUUUUCAUAAUCUGAAUUAUGAGAACUUGGCAAAUUGAAAUGGAAAUAUUAUAGCAAAAGACUGGUUUAGUCUUUAUGUGAGACAUCAUGAAUCGUGUCCCAUAUGCUUCGGAUAUAGGAUCGAUUACAUGUGCUAUAUUCAUCCGUUCUAAAAUUUUCCAAAUGCCUGGGGCAUUAAGAAGGGAAAAGGUUUAGAACUGGAUAUGACUAAAAGGAUUAAACAAUUGUCGAGGACAAUCUAAGGUUUACCAAAGAUUGGUUACUCAAGGACAAUUGGAAGUAUAGUGAUAAUUCUGGAAGGACCAUAUUGACAUAAUCUGUAAGGAGGCAACUCUUGUUCAGAAGUGAUAGUCAAAAUGGAAUCUGGAAAUGUUUCAAAGUUAGAAUUUUCAAUCUGUGUAAGAUUAAGGAAACUUAAUGCAAGAAGGAUGUUUCCAAGGAGUUGAUCUCCUUUGGAAUGCUCUGUAAUGUUUGUUGUCAAGUCUUUAUGACUUUGUGCAUAAUCAUUACAAGAGGAUCAAUGCAUAUAAGUUUAGAAUCUAACAGAUUUCAGUAAAUGGCAUGAAUUUGGAAUUCUUGCAUUUGCAGUAAGGAUUUGGGAGUGUGAAAAGAGAAUCAUUGAAGUUAUGUUCAAUUGAUCUAGUUCACAAAGUAAAGAUCAUAGACAAACAUAGUAUGCAUACUUGGUGUGUGGCAUGACUAGUGUUUAAGAAAACAUAGUGUACAUGCUUGGAGCAUGGGACAACUAUUGUUUUAAAUUCAAGAAUAAAGUUGAUAGCUGAAACAGUAUACAAUGAAUAAUGUGUAAUCAUAUGGUGAUAAAUAAAAGGUGUUUUAUUUAUGUUCAAAGGGUUGAUACCAUAUUGGAUUCAAUUAUUAUUGUGUUUCAUUUUGCAUGUUUUGACUUCCCGAAUAAACUAGGUUAUUCUUCCGGAAUGACUAAGUUAUUCAAACCAUCCACAGUCGGUCAUAUGUUGGAAGUAGAUAUGAAUUAAGACUGUCAUGGGUUGGCUUGUAGAGGUCUAAGGUGUUGGACAAAGGGCUACAACACUCAUGAGUGCUCAUAAGUUCUGAGUAUUGGAUUCAACCCGCGCUCAUUGGAAUCACUUCAUGGAUUUUAUCACGAGUGAUCAUGAGACGAUAAUAUCUUAUAUUCUUCAAACCUAGAGAUAUGAGUUGUUACUAUGAGUUGAUAGUACAUUGAUUGCACGAAAACGCAUUUGGUAACUCGGUGCUAUAAAACGUGCCUUUGUGUAUGAUUCAACAAGUAGUAGAACAAGCCAUAUGAGUCGAAGUUUAUCCAUUCCUUUUACCUUCGGGAUAAAAGCGAUAUCUGUGGGCCCCUCGAUGAUUUGAUGAUGACAAAUGGAAGUGCUCGGCCGGGCCAGGACUGAUUUGAUUUGUUCAAUUAGUCAGUCGUCAUAAAUCGGAAAUCGGGAAACAACAAAUGGACAGAGAGAAUGAUUAUAAUCCAUGUCUCAGUCCAUAUGAUAUCUAGAAUGGAGGAAUAUAUGAUCCCUUAUCUAAUGGACAAGUCAUUGACAAAGGUCAGAGUUCAUCUACAAGGUCAGAGUUCGACGGAAGCUUUUGAGAGCUACGAUUGCCAGUCGGUUCUUGAAGUCAUAUGCAAUAAUAGUUUUAGACUUAUCCAAGUGGGAGACUGUUGGAUUAAUGUCUAAGUCCAUAACUAUAAUUGGUAAGACUUGACCCGACCCGGCAUGGUCCAUUUGGGUUGCAUGGCAUCAUGCAUUUGGAUAGACUAUAAUGAGAGAAAUAACAAUUAAGGAUUAUUAAUAUAUUAUAAGUUCUAAUAUAUUAAUAGGGUUAUUUAAUUAUUAUUGAUCAAGAAUUAAUCUAGGAUUAAUUAAGUGAUCAAAAUAAGACUAAUUAAAUAUAUGGGUUGAUUGUGUAAAUCAUCCAUACUUAUAUAGUGGGAUAAUGCUCCAUGGAUUGUCAAGUUGGGCUAAAACCCAUAAGAUGCUCCAUGGUGUAUUUGUACCCAUGGAUCAUGGAAAUGAAAGGCCAUGACAAUUAGGGUUUGCAUGGUGUAACCCUAACUAUAUAAUGAUCUUAUUCUUGGAGAAAAUCGGCCACUAUGUGUGAGUGGUAGGGCUAGCCGAUUUUCAUGAAGUGUGGAAUUCUCUCAAGUCUCUCCAAGUGCACAUGAUGUUGUGUGAACCAUUUGAGGUGUCACACUCGGGGCACUAGGCACUCAAGCUUCAUGAAGUCUUUCUACAUCAAAGAGGUAUGUAAUUCUAACUUGAUAUAUUCAUAUGAAUCAAUGUUAUUAUGCUAGUUAGGAUGAAUAACUUGGAAAGUUCAUAUUUGCAUGUAUAAUAGAGAAAACAUAGAUCCAAGGUAUUUAGGGUUGCAUGCACACUUAGGAGUGUUAGAAUGCUCAAAACCCUACAAUGAUAUGUCAUGCGGAAUUGAUCAUAGCACGAGGGUAAGGAGUGCAAAAUGAUAUCUAUUGUAAGCUCCUCAGGGAAGUUCACAUUAAGCUUCAACAUACGGUCCACAAAUCUUUGCAUUUUCUGCAUGUGGCCCGUGAUGGUUUCACCAUCCUUCAUUCGGGUUGUAAUCAUGGAGGAGAUGAUUUCAUACCUCUCUUGUCGGGCACUUUGAUGGUAUCUUUCCAUCAAGUCUUGGUGCAUUUCAAAAGGGUAGAAGUCCUCAUAGGACUUUUAGAGUUCUGUUGUCAUUGUGGCCAUCAUGAUGCAUGCCACUUUGGUGGCAUCCCUUUCAUGUGCCCGGAAGUCAGCGAUCUCGUGGGGAGUUGCAGUGGUCUCAUCAAUCUCUUUAAGCUCCUUAUCGAGAACAUAUUCCUUGUCCUCGUAGCGGGUAAUCAUCGUGAUGUUUCUAAUCCAUUCAUUGAAGUUGGAUCCAUCAAAAGUGACUAUCCCACACAAGUUCAUAAGGGUAAAGGAGCCAUUAGGAUUAGAGCCAGAAGCAGCAUUGUUUGAAGACAUCUAAGCAAGAAGAAAGACAAGAUUAGUUUAGAUAUUAAUUUAGUCCUUAAUAAAACACCCAAAUGUAUUAUUAAGUCUAGGACCCAAUCACAAUAUAUUAUACUUAGAAGAGGUAUGCCAUAAUCUAAGUAAGAACAUAUUUGAAAGGUAGGUGAAUGACGAUUCACGAAUUUCCACCAAAAACGAAAUAUUAAUAUAUUAAUUUUUUAAUUUGGUUCUUAGAAAUUCCUAGAUUCUUUUGAUAUUCAGUGAACUUUUCAAAGGCAUGUUUCAAUCUCAAGCGUGCCUUCCAAGUUUUGUGACUGAGAUACCGAGGAUCACAAAACGAGGUGUGAAGUAACCAUGCAAAUCACUUGGUACCCUCAAUGUUUAUUACUCAAUCGAUGCGCUCCACCGACCUAUAAUAAACUUUAAGUCACCCUUUACCUACCUUGUUAAGUUCAAGUUAGUGUGUCGGUUAACCACACAUGCUCUAUUAACGACUUAAACCAAGUGUAAAGUGUAAUUUCAUGGAUUAGCAACUUAUUCACAUUUUUUCUAAAGUAACUAAGAUCGGGAUUUUAAUAAAACAUUUAGUUACUUUAUAAUAUUCAUUAUACUUUUAAUGAGAAUUUAUAAGUCCUUGUCCUACCCGUUCGGCUAACGACCCUCCACCAAUCAUGGAAGCGGUGGGUGAGAGUGGACACCCAUUAAGUUGCCAUUUUAUAGGCAACAACCUUAUACCCGCCUUAUAGACCGGCUUCGUGAAUGAGGCGUACUAGCGGUAAGACGACUUGAUCUUAUACAUAUAUAUUAUUAACUUAUAAUAUUCUAAAGUAUAAGGGUUGAAUUUUAACUUUUAAAAUUCCAAGGGUUGGAACUAAAGUUUUAAUCAUGACUUUACCUGUUCCAAAACUUGAGGGCAGGUUUUGUAAACUUUCAAAACUUUUCAUUUCUUAUAACUUAUGAAUUAAUUGAGUAUUAAAAAUGAAGAGUCUUCAUUUUUAUAACUCAUGUGUUCUUUUAAUGGCUUUUAUUAAAGUGUGACCUUUGGUUUUCCAUAACUUGAGGACAAGUUAUGGUCUCCAUUAAAACACAUAAUGAUCAUGAAUUAAACUACCAAGUAGGUUACAAACAAUUCCUAUGAUCAUCGAAUCUUCAUAAGUUCAAGAACAUGAAUAUGAACAUUUCAAGAAUCAUAAAUUACUCAUAAAACUUGUAAUUUUUGAUAAUUGACAUUGUAAAUAGAUUAGCAUAAACAUUACACCAUCUAAAACAAAUUUUAAAUCACCAAAACAGUUUAGGGUAAUGUUUCUAGUUCAUUUCCAGCAACAAAAGUCGAAAAUCUGCUGUUAGGGCCUCCUACUCGUCCAGUGCAUGAUCCUACUCGACGAGUAGGAUGAAUUUUCACUUGGACUCAUCGAGUCCCCCCAUGGACUCGGCGAGUCCACUGAUCAAACAGCAAGCAGUUUCGAUUUUAACACAUUUUUGCACAAAUAACAAACAAACAAGCCUAGGCUCUGAUACCACUGAUGGGAUUUGAGCAUUCUAACACUUCCUAAGUGUACAUGCAACCCUAAUAAACCUUGGAUCUAUGUUUGCCUAAGAUUCAUGCAAAAUUGAUUUCCAAGGUUCAUGAUCCUAUCUAGCAUACAUAGGGAACAUUUUAACUUAAAUGAAAGAUAAAAUAACAUACCUUGUUGUUGACUUGAAACCUUGUGAGCCUAGCAUUCCAAGUGUGAUGCCUCAAAUGCUUCACACAACACCAAAUGCUAUGGAGUAAACUUGGAGAGAAAGUAUAACACUCAAAAAUCGGUUCUAGCCCUCAAGUAUGCAAGUGUAGCCGAUUUUGGGAGAAACAUGAGCUUUAUAUAGUGUGUUGCAUUAGGUAAACCCUAAUGUAACAUGACUCUUCAUUUCCAUGAUCCGUGGAUUAACUCCAUGGAGCAUCCAUGGAGCAUCCUAUGGGUGGAACCCAACUUGAUAAUACAUGGAGCCCGUAACAUCCCAAAAAUUCAGAAGUAUUGUUCAAGGGCUAAAGUGUAAAUUAAGGAGGGGACUCGAUGAGUAGGUAUUCCGAAUCGCCGAGUCGGAGCGGGAUUUGGUUGCGGGUCAAGUGACCCACUCGCCGAGUCAGUAGCUGGGACUCGACGAGUUGAUGCUGAAAGGAGAAAACCCUGAUCCCGGGGGUUGUGCCCUAUAUAAAGAACAUAUCAUCCCUUAUUCAUCCUCCUUACCACCCUUGAGAGCCUGAAAACCCUAGAAAUCGAGUGGAACUCCAUUGAUAGUGAAAUUGGAGCUUGGAAAAAGGAAAUCUUGAAAAGGGAACUUGAAUACUAAGGGAUUACAGCAAGGGAGUGGUAUAGAUUCGAGAUCUACUUCAGCGGGAGCUUGCAUUGGAGGUAAUAGAUCUGUUCUUGAGCUUUUGUGCAUCUAGAUCUAUCAAUUGUGGGGUUUUGGGGGCAUAAAUGAGGUCCAUCUCGAGUUUGGUGUAAGAUCUGAGGUUGCUACCUCAGAUCUAGGCUUGUAAUGACCCAAGGAGCCAUAAAGUCUAUGUUCAAGAGAUGUAGGUGAAGUUCUUUUGUCCCAAACCUUAGCCCAAGAGUGUAUUGUGCUUAGAUCUCUUUGGAUUCACGUAAAGUUUGCCACUUUACGUGAUGGAUGGGUUGUAGGGGAGUGGAUCUGUGGUUUGGAGGCCCUGCUUGGCUUGGAAACCCACUGUAUGGAUUAAGAACUAGAGGUACUCGGCGAGUCACAUGGGUGAGCUCGGCGAGUUGGAUGAAGAUAGACAGGAACUCGAUGAGUUGGAAGAACAACUCGGCGAGUAUGUUGAAUGUUGCCUUGGACUCGGCGGGUUUGUUCUUGGACUCGGCAAGUCUGGUCGUGGAGUCCUAACCUUUUUGGUUGAGUUGUGAAUCGGUGAGUCGAGGGACGACUCGGUGAGUUGAGCGAGAAAGGACUCGGAGUUUGUUGGACUUGGCGUGUCUUGGGGUGACUCGGCGAGUUGAGUCGUGCACUGGGAGUUCUGAGUAUAGGGACUCGAUGAGUCAGCGGGUUGACUCGGCGAGUAGAGUCAGUCUGGAAGGUUGACUUUGACCAAGAGUUGACCAGUUGACCUCCGGGGGUAUUUUGGUAAAUAUUGGUACUUAUUGAGCUUAGUCUUUUGGUAUUAAUCAGUGGCGGAGUUCGUGUGGGAGGUUGGAGCAGCGAGAUCUUAUCUUUUCAGUCAUCAGUGGCGAGGUGAGUUAUCCUCACUAUAUCAACAGGGUCUACGGCACCAGGGCCGGCCCUUUAUCGGAUUGUAAUUCGGGUAUCGUUGUUAUGUUAUUGCUUUGCUAUGUUUGCAUCCUGGUAGUUAGGAUGGUAUACGUUAGAGACCUAGUUAAGGUCGGUAUCCUAGUAUAUAGGAUGAUGUUAUGCUAGUGACCAGUUAGGUCGGUAACCUGGUUAGGAUGAUCUUAUGUUUGUGAUGUGCUAGAUCGGUUUGAUUGGAUGUGAAUUGUUAUAUGAUUGUAUGUUUAUGUGCACAUGGUUGUUGGACCGGGGUUGGGUUGUGGCGGGUCCUGCUUUAUGCUGUAGGCCAACAUACCCCGGGCGGACCGGUUAUCCCGAAGGCCCAGCGAGCGGUCCGGAUAGGCUGUAGGCCCCAAAAGGGCGGACCAGACGUGCCAAGGCUCGGGGAGUGGACCAGGCCGACUGAAGGCCCGGUGCGGGCNNNNNNNNNNNNNNNNNNNNNNNNNNNNNNNNNNNNNNNNNNNNNNNNNNNNNNNNNNNNNNNNNNNNNNNNNNNNNNNNNNNNNNNNNNNNNNNNNNNNNNNNNNNNNNNNNNNNNNNNNNNNUGGACCAGGUGGACUGAAGGCCCGGUACGGCGGACCAGUCACACAGUAGACCCAAAGUGCAUGGUUGUUAUGUGUUCUGUUAUGAUAUGACAUGUUAUGUGUAUGGUAUAUGUGGUUGGUAUUCUGGGGGUAUCUCACUAAGCUUUCGGGCUUACAGUUGUGGUUUAAAUGUUUCAGGUAGGCCUGGCAAUCGUGUCGUGUUUGGGUUGGCGUGUUGCGGGUUGGCGAGUCAAAAUAUGCCAACCCAAACACGACCCAUUUAAAUAUACAGGUCACGGGUUGGCGGGUCACGGGUUGGCGGAUUUGGAACAUAAACCCAUAUAUGACCCGCCAACCCAUUUAUUUAUACGNNNNNNNNNNNNNNNNNNNNNNNNNNNNNNNNNNNNNNNNNNNNNNNNNNNNNNNNNNNNNNNNNNNNNNNNNNNNNNNNNNNNNNNNNNNNNNNNNNNNNNNNNNNNNNNNNNNNNNNNNNNNNNNNNNNNNNNNNNNNNNAAAUAUAUAUAUAUAUAUAUUAUAUAAUACUUAUUAAAUAUUAAUACUUGAUACAUAAAUACAUUUAAAAGUAAAAUAAUUUUUUUUAUUAAGAAUAUAAACGGGUUGGCGGGUCAACCCGUUUAUUUUUUGAGAAACCCAUAUAUGACCCGUUUAAUAAACAGGUUGACGGGUUGGCGGGAUGAAAAACUCAACCCAAACCCAUUUAUUUCGUGUCGUGUAGCGUUUCGUGUCGAGAAUUGCCAACCCUAGUUUCAGGUACUUCAGGAGACCGUGGCAAGACAAUGGCGUGAUCGUACCGCUCCUCAUGUUUAUGUCUUAUGAUAUGGUUCUGGGAAAACUAAUAAUAAUUGUAUUGAAAACCUUUUUGUAAUAACUUAACGAAACUGGGUUGUUUUGAAAUGUUUAAAUUGUGAGGAAUGUUGUUGCGGUUCCUCUUGCGAUGGAGUUUGCUGAGAAGAGUGCACCGAAGUUGUCUGUUUGUGAGAAGGUUGCAGUGUUGGUUGAGGAGUCACAAUCCUUUGAUGGAUUGGAUCAUAAGUUGGAAUUGGGAUUCUUGGAGAAGAUUGAUGUUGCUGAGAAGAUUGAUGUGGAUGAGAGUGUUCACUUCCCCCUUUUGAGGAAGAAACAAUUUGUUGCUCCUCAAACCACUGUCUUAGGCCAUCAAUCUUUGAAAACGUCUUGUCGAACUGAGACUUUAUCAACUCAGAUAUUUGAAAAUUGUUGGGAAUAUUAGUGUUGAACAGCAGGUUGUACAUCUCAUUUGUUAACUGUAGAAUCGCAUCAACACUUCAGUUUGAUGUGAGAGAACGCCUUAGACCAUUGAUCUUCGUUUGAAGAACCGCAAGGAAAAAUUCAUAUGCAUUAUGGGUUUCAUUAACAAGUUGUUUUCAAUGAACUGCUUGAUUAGCAAGAAUAGCCUUGACCUCAUUUUUUAUUGCAGUGACCUCUUGGAUUAGACGAUCAGCAGUUGCCAGAAAUUCUAUAUGGUCAGCAGUGCGAUUGUUGUCUAGGGCUCGAAUACCCAUUUCAACUUUCAAGAAAAUUCUUUCAGCUACUAAUCUGUGACAUCCCCAAAAUCUCGGCCAGAAAAGACCGAUUUUCAUUUAUGUUUAAAAAAUAUUUUCAGAGUAAAUCCUUUUGAUUUGAAAGAGUUGCGGAAUUUGUUCCCAAAAACAAAACAUGAUAAAACAAUGUUUACCGAAGCAUUUCAUAAAAGAAAUGUAUUUUCAUUAUAAUCAAAACUCAGGGUGUCAUGUUCCGAUACAUACCAAUAAGCAUAAACGAAUACAUUACAAGUCAUUCAACAAAUAUAAACAUAUGCAGACUUGUAAACAAAACAACUUGAUGGUUCAUCCAUCUCAUGCCCUUGCGCCACUUCCUGUAAUACAAUUAAAACUGAGUGGGUCAGGCUUGGGAGCCUGGUGAGCAUAUAGGGUUUUCAACCCACAACAAAUAUCAUAUUUAAUUUUCACCAACCAACAAUAACCCAAUUACCCAUUCCCGUUAUUCUCACUUUAUGUCCCUAAAACAACUAACAUAAAGGACCUAGUCUAAGAAUAUUUUAUCGGGACGACAACACAUGCUUCGGGGGUACCUUAGCAAUAUAAGUCAAAUAAGGCAACCAUGAGGGGGGUGAAGUGCAGCGAAUGAACACCCAAGUUCAUUAACACCUACAGGUGGCGAACCUGCUAAUGUUUCCACAAGACUAUCUAGAAAAGUAUGUGGUCGUCAUCUAAACUCUGCUAGAUGACUAGAUCAAACAACAACGAGGCCUCUCAUCUGUUUAUUACACACCAACUAUCUACCCAUGUUCUACCCAACAUAUUAGUAGAUAAAAAUAUACAUUUGUAUACAUAGUUUAAAGAAAACCUGUAUAGCAUGCUUUAAUCAACACAUAUAUCACAUAACAGAUGAGGCACACACACACAUAACACAUAUCUCAUAAAGAAAUAAGCAGAUCUAUAAGAUAGAAGAGAGUGAAUACUCAUUCACACAUAACACAACCAAAUAUAUACACAUAGCACGUAUUUUUAUAUAAAAUACUUCGUAUUAUUGUAUUAGAAGAAAUAACUACACACUCACUUGAUCAGAAGACGAUCCGACAGCACUACGGCUUAUAGAAGUAGUAUUCCUCAGCAGAUCUGGAAGAUCUCCUCGAAAAUCAAACUUCUCGCGGGCAGAGCUUCGACUCGGGAACCGCACUUUUCGGGAUCUUCGGGAUCUCGGGACUUGCCUCGGGGCUAGGGUAUAAUACCGGGGCUUCGGGGUAUUUCUGGCACGCAAAACGAUGCAAAACGGGAGAGAGAAGAGAAGAAAUUGGCAAUUGGGUCGGCUGCCCUCGCAUCCUAUUUAUAGGAGGCUGGAGCCUCGGAGUACGCGGGGCGUACGCCAGUACGCGGGGCGUACUGGUCCGAAAAACGUCACUGCGUGCGUCAUCCGAAGCCACUUGCUGCGAAUGUCGACACUUCGGAGUACGCGGGGCGUACUCGAGUACGCGGCGCGUACCUCGGAUCAGACCGGUGACUCCUUCGGAUAAUGCUUCCGAAUUUCCUUUUAAAUUUAAAUACAAAUUGAUUAAUAAACUUCGGAAAUUCAUAUCUUCUUCAUACGAACUCCGUUUUCGACGUUCUUUAUAUCCACGCGAAGGUGAGACUACGCUCUACAACUUUCGUUUAGACUCCGUCGGCUAAUUUUGACUUUUAUUUUUAUUAUUUAUUUUUAAUAGGCCGCGACAGAAAACUUCGUUAUAAAUUCAUAACUUCUUCGUUUGACGUCCGUUCUCGCCUAACUUUUUAUCGCUUCGAUACCAACAACGAGAUCUUCGAUUCUCGUUUAGAUUGCUAAGGCUAAAUAUCGCUCUAACGUAAAUUCACUUUUUACGUCGCGCUGUGUCGUGCCGGUUCUGUCGCGAAACUUCGACAGGUCAUAACUUCUUCGUUAUAACUCGGAUUUUGGCGUUCUUUAUAUGUACGGAAACCUUGUAACAUAUACUACAACUUAGUUAGGAUUAUUCAUCCUAAAUAAUCUUCUAUCAAAAAGUCAUUUUUGACUCUUAUUGUCUCUAAAUUGACUAGCCCUGAUCUACGGGCGUUACAAUUAUCUCCCCCUUAGGAUGAUUACGUCCCGGAAUCAUCAACGAAAUAGGAUUCGCAUACUGACUCCAUAAGUUAUCUCUCCAUUCUAAGUAAUAACCCUGAUGGGUCGUGUCCCGAUGACCUCUCAUCAUAGUCGGACUCAAUUGAUAUGACCCCUAGGGUCGGAAUAACAACUAUCUUACUAGACAUUACCGAAACAAUGGUAAUGACAUACUUGAAUAAAACGGAAUCAAUUACUAGCUUCUUGAUAACCUUGUGACUUCCCCUGAUCCAAGCGUGAGUCCUGUGCUUCCGGUAGUAUAGAUCUCUACUACCAUUCACACCUACUCAUACUCGUCCCAAGUAUUGUCUCGCAGUUAACCAAGUCACCAUACAUAAAUCAUAUAAUCAUUCAACACAUCAGAUAACAAAACCAGGAUUUAUAUUAAUUCUUGAAACUAUUACACAAAAGUUCAAGUUCACCCUAUACUAUGCCUCUAACAGGCUAUGCUUCCUGAUACAGACUUUACCGACUUUAUAUAUUAAUAUGAAGUCUUCAUCCUUUAACCCUCCCAUCCCUUUCUGCUUCGUUGAGGAACAUGUUGAAUGCCCUUGGCUGUGGAGGUGUGUUUUUCUGUGGGCAGUCUUUAGAAAUAUGACCUUCUUCAUUACACCUAUAGCACAUCUUCUUGAUAGGUGCGCACUUGUUGGCGUAGUGCCCUGUCUUCCCACAUUUGUAGCAAGUCAUCUCCUCGCUACAUUUCCCGAAGUGUUUCUUCUUACACUUCUCACACCACUUAGCUUCAUCUCUUCCCCCAGAUUUCGAGAAUUUACUUUCUUUGUCGAUUAUUGAAGAUCCUUCACGCUUCCUUUUCUCUCCAACUUCAGCCCUUUCCAGACCCUUUUCUUUUAUUUGGGUCUCAACAUUUUUGGCUGCCCAGAUGGCGGCUUUCAGAGUGGUUGCUUGUUUGACUAUCGGACCAAAGUCCGCUGGUAAUCCAUUGGCAAACUUGUUGACCUUGGAAAGUUCAGUCGGAAUUAGGUAUGGAAUAAGCUUCAUCUUCUCCGUAAAGCUCGUAGCGUAUUCAGUAACGCUCAAUUUUCCUUUCUUCAGAUUCUGGAACUCAUUGUUGAUUUCCAGAAGAUCUUGCUCAGAGCAGUAUUGCAAUUUCAGUUGCACCACGAAUUCUUCCCAAGACAUCUUGCUAGCUUCCCCCUUAGGCAUCGAACCAGCCAGUAACUUCCACCAGCUCAAUACUCCAGAUUUUAACAGAGGGAUUGCAAGAGCGGUCUUCUGUCUGUUGCUACACUCGCAACUUUCAAACAUUGUCUCCAUUUCGGAGAUCCAGUCCAUGACUUGCACCGGUGUCGGGCUCCCAGAAAGACAUGGUGGUUUGGAUGCCAUGAAAUCCUUGUACUUGCAUCCACGUCCGUCAUUUCCUCCAUCCUGGUUGUUUUGGCGAACUAUUGGUGGGUUGGCUUGACCAACGGUCCCACUGUAGUUUCCUCCUUCAGACUGCCCUCCAUUUACUUCGGGCUCUUCAACUUGAAUUGACAAUUCCUCGCGAUUCUGCCUGAUCAGACGUCUGGUUUCUUCCAUCUGAUUAUUCAACAUUGCCUGGAUCAUCACUUGAACUCCGGCCAUUGUCAUUGGUUCAGGCGCUGCUGCUACAACAGGUAUUUGUUCAAUUACUGGUAUUUGAUUCCUGUUUUCAUCAGCAUUUCCAACUCCACUCCUCGUUCUCACCAUUUUUGAUCUAUACACCGAAUAAGGUGAAAUUAGAUCCUUAUUCACGAUAGAUAUUCAAAUCAUCCUUAUCACUCCGAAACGUUUACAUGCUAGUUCUAAUAUCGUAGACGCACGCUUAGAAUCCUAAACACAUAAGGUUUCCAGAUCCGGUCGGCAACAGACCAUAGAUCCGAACAAUUAACAUCAUAUAUGGCAAACAUAUAACAAUUAGCACAUAAUAGCAUUUUAGGCAAUUUUCCUAAAAUAAAAUAGUGCCUGUGUCAAUUUAGGUGUACUACCUAAAAUAUAAUGGACACACUCAACUCACAAUCAUUGCUUAGCAUUCUAAGUUUAAGUCUAGAAAUAAAUCCAUAUUCCUAGUUCGCUUAAACUAAUGCUCUGAUACCAACUGUGACAUCCCCAAUUUCACGGCCAGAAAAGACCGAUUUGUUUAUGCUUUGUUUUUAAAAUCAGAGUAAUCGUUUAAAGAAAACUGUUGCGGAAUUUGUUCCCAAAAACAAAAAUAUGAUAACCAUUUAUCCAAACAUUUCUCAAAGAGAAUGUAUUUUCAUUAAAUAAUAAAACCUUGGGAUGUCAUGUUCGAUACAGACCAAAAGCAUAAACAAUAUAAAAUAGACCUUACAAUAGUUAUUUAACUACUGAUCUAUAAUCCAAAAUCUCUCGUCAAGUCCACCAACUUAUACCCUUGUGCCAUUACCUGUAAUGAAAAGAAAACUGAGUGGGUCAGGCUUGGGAGCCUGGUGAGCAUAUAGGGUUUUCAACCCACAAUAAUAUAAUUAUUAUAUUUAAUCAGCAAACAAUCAACCCAAUUACCCAUCCCCAUUAUCUUCUUAAGGUUUUACCCUAAGAACCAACUAUCCUUCAUUCAUUUAUUCGUAAGGAAUUGGCACGAAUUCCAUUGCUGCCAAAGUUUAUUUAUCAAGUACUAAAUCCAUAGUUAUCAGGCGCUAACUCCAUAGUCACCAAGGUUCACUUAACAAGCGCUAACUCCAUAGUCGCCAAGGUUUACUCAACAAGCGCUAACUCCAUAGUCGCCAAGGUUUACUCAACAAGCGCUAACUCCAUAGUCGCCAAGGUUCAUCAAAUAGGCACGAAGUCACAUCGUCGCCAAGGUUUAUACAAUAGGCGCUAACUCCAUAGUCACCAACUAUUCCAUCUACCUAUGUUCUACCCAACAAUUUUGUAGAUAUAAAUACUUACACAGUUUAAAUCAUUUAACACCUGUAUAAAACUCCAAUUUCCAUGCCCAUCUCAAAUAGACAAAUAACAUAUAAACACAUAGCACGUAUUUCAUAGCAAAUACUUCAUAUUUAUGUGUUAGAAGAAAGUAACUACACACUCACACAUAUAAACAACAAUAUACUUAAUACACUCAAACCAUACUUGUAUUAUUAUCGUGUUUAUGAAAGGUAGUAUACACUCACUUGAUCAGAAGAUGAUCGGACAGCACUACGACUUGCAGAAGUAGUAAUCCUCAGCAGAUCUGGAAGAUCUCUUCAAAAAUCGAACUUCUCGCGGGCAGAGCUUCGGCUCGGGAACCGCACUUCUCGGGAUCUUCGGGAUCUCGGGACUUGCCUCGGGGCUAGAGUAUGAUACCGGGGCUUCGGGAUAUUUCUGGCACGCAAAACGAUGCAAAACGGGAGAGAGAAGAGAGAAAAUGAGCAAAAGACUCGGCUGCCUUCGGAUCCUAUUUAUAGGAGGCUGGAGCCUCGGAGUACGCGGGGCGUACUGCAGUACGCAGCGCGUACUGCUUCCGAAAUCGUCACUGCAUGCGUCAUCCGAAAUGUCGACACCCUUCGGAGUACGCGGGGCGUACCUCGGAUCAGACCGGUGACUCCUUCGGAUAAUGCUUCCGAAUUUUCAAUUAAAUUUAAUUACAAAAUAUUUAAUAAACUUCGGAAAUUCAUAUCUUCUUCAUACGAACUCCGUUUUCGACGUUCUUUAUAUCCACGGAAAGGUGAGACUACGCUCUACAACUUUCGUUUAGACUUCGUCGGCUAAUUUUGACUUUAUUUUUAUUAUUUAUUUUUAAUAGGCCGCGACAGAAAAACUUCGUUAUAAAUUCAUAACUUCUUCGUUUGACGUCCGUUCUCGCCUAACUUUUUAUCGCUUCGAUACCAACAAUGAGAUCUUCAAUUCUCAUUUAGAUUGCUUCGGCUAAAAACCCCUCGAUCUCAAAUCGAGUAAAACAGGUUGCAUACCGCUAAGCUGAAACUUCGAUAAAUCAUAACUUCCUCAUACGAAGUCAGAUUUGGGCGUUCUAUAUAUAUUCGGAAACCUCGUUUCAACUACUACAACAUAAAUCAAAGAUAUUAAGUUUAUUUUACACUUAAAUUUUGACGCUUAUUUUUAUUCUUAAUUAAUCAAACCACAUAAUUAAGCAAUUAAGCACAAAACACAUAAUACUCAAAUAAUACAAUCUUAUUAUUUCAAAAUGGGUUACAAAGGUUAACCUAGACCAUUACGUUGCUAAAAGUAGCAAGCCCGGAAACGCAGGCGUUACAUAAUCUUUCUCUAGUUUCUAGCCUUUCAACUCUUUUAGCCUAGGACUGCGGUAUCAGCCAUAUCAGGGUGUUGCGGUUGGUUGAUGGUGACUGCGGUAAGAAUUUGGUCGACCUUAGACUAAAGACUGAGAAAUUAUUUCCUUGACACAACCAGUUUCUUCUUCUUCUUGGCUUUAGGCUUUGAAGUGGAGUGUUGGGAUCCACUGGACUCUUCUUCAUCAAACACCAUCAUGAAUUCAUUGGAGUUAGGGGGGGGGGUUGUUGAACAUCUUCAAGAUUAAGAUCAUCAAGUCCAAACAUUGGACCUGAGUUGAUCACAACUGCGGUUCCAUCAUCGUUUGAAUCAUGGAUUUCAACAGUUGGAAGAGGCUUAGAGGGAACAGCACCACUUUGCAGAUUUUGGGCUUUAUGAACUGUGAUUUCCAUUCUUGAUACCCAUUCUUGAAUAUGCAAGAUGUCAUGGGCUGUCUUCGCAUUACUGAAAGCAUCAGCCCAAUACUUAGCAACCGUUUGAAGAUCUUUUUCUUUCUACUAUUGCUGUUGAAUUUGUUGUUGUUUCCUUGCUUUGAACGCCCUUUGAAAAGCUUCAUACUUUCGGAUUCCGGACUCAGUAGUUGGUCGAUCCUGAGUCCAAGAAUCAUAUGAAUGAUAUUCGUCAAAUCCUUGGUUUCACAUCGGGGUGUCCCUGUGUUCGUGGAUCCUGGCACAUUGGUGCUCACCACUCCUAAACCACUUGUCUGUAAUGACGGUGGAGUUGGUUUUCCCAAGCUUCCUCGGUCUCCUUGACCUGAAGUCAAGUUUGGCCUCGAAUCGGUUCUGGCCAUGGCUGAAGAAGUGCCCUGCAGUGGGUUAGGUGUUUGCAGUAUUUGUGUAAUAGAAAUAAGGAUGGAGUGUAACUCCUCUGGCUCGAAGACGUGUAAGUGUGCUGCCCUAGAGACCUUAGGGCGACGUGAACCAAUGGGAUCCUCUUGGGAGCCAACUAGGGUGUUGUCUCCAUGUUCUAAUGAAACAUAUACAUUUUUUGUAUCUGAGUAGUUAGAGAGGGUAUAAACGAGUAAGCCUGCGUGGGGGGGCGGGGGGUCCAAGGAAUACUAGGGGUAAGUUUUGGAGGGGGGGGGGGGGAGGAGCUUCAUCCGAAGAUACAAUGGUUUUGUGUUUCUUGGAGGGAUUUUCACCCUUUUUGACUACAUUACGGGGAGAUUUCUUAGAAGAAACAAUUUUCUUGAUGUGUUUGGGUUUAGGAUGGCUAGACUGUUAUGCAGUAGUAGGGACUUGAGAUGAAGUAUGAAUUGCGGUACCAGAAGGACCUUGGGUUUCGGUGAGGGUUGCGGCAGCCUGACCUGGUCUGGGCGGGGAAGAGUGGUAGGGUUCAUAACCACUCGUAGCCAUGAUAUGGCCAGCGACUGCGGUGUCUGAGAGUCCUAUAGACUCCAAGAUGUACAUCGGUAAUCUCCUAAGGGUUCUAAAAAUAGAUUGAUCUUUGGAAGGGGUGUACCUUUUCAUGUCGUCGGUGACAAAGAGUGUAGAAUCAUCACCCAUGUCUACCUUUGCCUCCUUGUGAAGAUCUGAAACGUAGAGAGACCAAAAUCGAGCAAAGGUAAGCACGGUUGCAUCUUGUUGAGGAGUUUCCUUUGGAAUGUAUUGUAGGAAUUCAUCCCACAAUAUUUGACCAAAAUUGAUGGCGUUGCCGAUGAAUAUGCUCCAUACAAGCUCGAGAAGCUUGAUCGCCAUGUUGUCUGUACCACCGGUUCUGCCGGAAAAACUUCUAAUGACAAUGUUGUUGGAUAAGGUGUCUAAGUCCAUAACUAUAUUUGGUAUGUACUUGACCCUACCCUGCAUGGUCCAUUUGGGUUGCAUGGCAUCAUGCAUUUGGCUAGACUAAAUGAGAGAAAUAACACUUGUGGUUUAUUAAUAUAGUAUAAGUUCUAAUAUAUUAAUAGUAUUAUCUAAUUAGUAUUGAUCAAGAAUUAAUUUGGAAUUAAUUAAGUGAUCAAAAGAUAACUAAUUAGAUAUAUGGGUUGAUUAUGUAAAUCAUCCAUAACUUGUAUAGUGGGCUAAAAGGCUCCAUGGAUUAUCAAGUUGGGUUAAACCCAUAGGAUGCUCCAUGGGAGUUACAAACCCAUGGGUCAUGGAAAUGAAGAGUCAUGUCACAUUAGGGUUUACAUGGUGUAACCCUAGAUGUGACACACUAUAUAAAGAACAUGAGACUCGCCAAAAUCGGCUACACACUAAGAACUAGAGAGGGCAAGCCGAUUUAUACAAGUUUUAUACAUACUCUAAAGUUAUUCCAAAGCAUUUGGUGUUGUGUGAAGCAUUUGAGGCAUCACACUUGGGGUGCUAGGCUCUCAAGGUUUUCAAGGAAUCAAAUCAAUUUCAAGGUAUGUAAUUCUAGCCAUCUUUUAGAUUAAAAGUUCCCCAUGCAUGCUAGAUAGGAUUAUCAACCUUGGAAAUCAUAUUUUGCAUGUAUUUUAGACAAACAUAUAUCCAAGGUUUUCUAGGGUUGCGUGUACACUUAGGGGUGUUAGAAUGCUCAAAACCCAUCAAUGGUAUCAGAGCCUAGGCUUGUUUAUAAAUACUUGAUGCAAAAUAGUGGAAAAAAUCGAUUUUUGAGCUGUCUGCACCGGGGAAUCGACGAGUCCAAGUGAAAAUGCAACCAACUCGACAAGUCAGUUCGUGCACUCGACGAUUUGGACAAGCAGAGUGCAGAAUUUCGAUUUUUGCUGCUGGAAAUGGACUACAAACAUUACCCUAAACUGUUUUGGUGUUGUAAAACUUGUUUUAGAUGGUGUAAUGGUUGUUCUAAUCCAUUUUCAAUGGCUAAUAUCAAUUUUUCAUGAGAUUAUGUGUUCAUAUUUUCUUGAAAAUUUGAUACGAAUAUUCAUGUUCUUAUGAGUUUUUUGAUAGAUCAUAGGAAUUACUUGUUUAAAUGUUUAAUUCAUCAUCUUUAUGUGUUUUAAUGGAGUCCAUAACUUGUCCUCAAGUUAUGGAUAACCAAAAGUCUAUUUGUGUUAAAAAAACAUUAAAAGAACACAUAAGUUAUAAAAUGAAGAGUCUUCAUUUUAAUAACUCAUAAGUUAUGAAAUUGAAAGGUUUUGUAAAGUUACAAAACUUACCCUCAAGUUUUGGAACAUCUAAAGUCAUCUAAUAAACUUUAGUUCCAAACCCUAGAUUUUUAAAAGUUAAAAAUCAACCCUUAUAUUUUAUAAUAUUAUAAGUUAAUAAUAUAUAUAUAUAUAUAUAUGUAUGUAUAAGAGCAAUUCGCCUUACCAUUAGUAGGCCUCAUUCAUGAAGCCGGUCUAUAGGGGGGUAUAAGGUUGUUGCCUAUAAAAUGGCAGCUUAAUGGGUGUCCACUCUCACCCACCGCUUCCUUGAUCGGUGGAGGGUCGUUAGCCGAACAGGUAGGACAAGGACUUAUAAAUUCUCAUUAAAAGUAUGAUAAAUAUUAUAAAGUAACUAAAUGUUUUAUUAAAUUCUCAAUAUUAGUUACUUUAGGAAAAUGUGAAUAAGGUGCUAAUCCAUGAAAUUACACUUUACACUUUGUUUAAGUCGUUAGUGGAGCGUGUGUGGUUAACCGGAACACUAACCUGGACUUAACAAGGUAGGUAAAGGGUGACUUAAGGUUUAUCAUAGUAUCACUG